UAGAAGAGAUAAAGAACUAUGAUGUUUUAGGCGAUCUCUCACGCUUGUUCUUCUACUAAAAGUAAUCUCAAAAUUAAGCUUUUUUUUGUCUUGGGAGAGUUUCUACAUCUUAUAAGGGUUUAACCAAAAUUUUUCCCGAAUUGACACUUUGGCCCUUCAAAUUUCUGAAUUAUGAACAGUUCACCGCGGCUGCGGCGUGGAUCGUCGUCGACCGCGGUGAACUUCCUGGGCCGAUUUUUGUGUUUUGUUUCCGCGCUCUGGUCCGCUGUCCAACGCGGUCGCGGUGGACUUUUGUCCAGUCAUUUGUUUUGCUCUUUUGUGUUCGAGCACUUCUUGAGUGUGUGUUUUCUUCACAUUAUUGCCUCCUAACACUUCAUGUUGCUUCUUCACAAAUAAUAUUCCCUGCGAAACCAAUUAUCACCAUCUAAACCAUUUUAUUGGCAAAUUACCUUAUAAAACAACAAUAAAGCAUGGGAAACUAAGAUGUAUAACCUAUUAUCAACAACACACACUUAAAUUAUUGCUAGCCAUCGAGAAAUUCGCCACACUCCAUCAAAAUUCCUUCCCUAUGCUUUUCCCUCAACGACUCACACCAUGAAAUUACACCUAGUAGUGAGCAAACUUUAACCUCAAGAAUCAAAUCUUUCGUACCCCGUAACAUUUUCACUUACUCAAACCAACACAAGAGUCAAGACGUACCUUUACUUUGUGAAUCGCAUGCCCCCACAUCACACAAGAGAGUAAUUUCAUAUAUAAUGAUAGUGAUAACAAUUAGAACUAAAAUAGACAGAAUUUGCUCACUCUCCAAAAAGAACAUUCACAUGCUACAACAAUGCACCAUAAGCUUGCCCGUAGUGUAGUACUCGACUAAUCGAGCUCAUUCAAUCUCGAAUCAAUCAGAACUUUAUUUAAUUGUAAUGUAGGAUACGGGACGGGUAGGAUACAUUUAGAUAUAAGAGUGACUACACCUUCCUAAGCACUUUAAUACAUAUAUUUUAACAUUCAAACCCCAUACUUAUGUCAAACAAAAAUUCCACCUUCACAUCAAUAUGAAUUACCCAAUUCUUCUUUAAGCACACUUACUUCAAGAGCCACCACUCAUUAAGGAAAUCUUAUUAUAUUUUUUUUCUUUCAAUUAAAGUGGCUCUUCCUUUUCCAAAACAGUGCACCUUUCUCCUUAUUCAAUUAUUUCCACUCAAAAUCCAAAUUAACCACCCCACACUUUAACUUUUACAAAGUUCAUAACAAUUCGAGUGCUCUUGAGAGGUGAAAAGGUUC
rnacentral:lncRNA from 1 species